CAGGCUUCAUAUGGGGAGAAAUUAAACAGAUGUGGGAUGGCGGACUUCAGGACUACAUCCAUGAUUGGUGGAAUCUAAUGGACUUUGUAAUGAACUCCUUAUAUUUAGCAACAAUCUCCUUGAAAAUUGUUGCAUUUGUAAAGUGCCCUUAAUCCACGAGAAUCAUGGGACAUGUGGCAUCCCACUCUGGUGGCAGAGGCUUUAUUUGCUAUUGCAAACAUCUUCAGUUCUCUGCGUCUGAUCUCACUGUUUACUGCAAAUUCUCACCUGGGACCUCUGCAAAUAUCUCUGGGAAGAAUGCUCCUGGACAUUUUGAAGUUUCUAUUCAUAUACUGCCUUGUGUUGCUAGCAUUUGCAAAUGGCCUAAAUCAAUUGUACUUCUAUUAUGAAGAAACGAAAGGGUUAACCUGCAAAGGCAUAAGAUGUGAAAAGCAGAAUAA
rnacentral:lncRNA from 1 species